rnacentral:rRNA from 2 species
UGGGGAAUAUUGGACAAUGGGGGGAACCCUGAUCCAGCCAUGCCGCGUGUGUGAAGAAGGCCUUUUGGUUGUAAAGCACUUUAAGUGGGGAGGAGGCUUACCUGGUUAAUACCUGGGCUAAGUGGACGUUACCCACAGAAUAAGCACCGGCUAACUCUGUGCCAGCAGCCGCGGUAAUACAGAGGGUGCGAGCGUUAAUCGGAUUUACUGGGCGUAAAGCGCGCGUAGGUGGUUAAUUAAGUCAAAUGUGAAAUCCCCGAGCUUAACUUGGGAAUUGCAUUCGAUACUGGUUAGCUAGAGUAUGGGAGAGGAUGGUAGAAUUCCAGGUGUAGCGGUGAAAUGCGUAGAGAUCUGGAGGAAUACCGAUGGCGAAGGCAGCCAUCUGGCCUAAUACUGACACUGAGGUGCGAAAGCAUGGGGAGCAAACAGG